UACGUAGGGUGCAAGCGUUGUCCGGAAUUAUUGGGCGUAAAGAGCUCGUAGGCGGUUUGUCGCGUCUGCUGUGAAACCCGAGGCUCAACCUCGGGCCUGCAGUGGGUACGGGCAGACUAGAGUGGCGGUAGGGGAGAUUGGAAUUCCUGGUGUAGCGGUGGAAUGCGCAGAUAUCAGGAGGAACACCAAUGGCGAAGGCAGAUCUCUGGGCCGUAACUGACGCUGAGGAGCGAAAGCAUGGGGAGCGAACAGG
rnacentral:rRNA from 1 species